AGAAAACGGGCCGCCCCCGCCAGAGGACCCCCUAACUCUGUUUCUAUAAUGUUUCUUCUGAGUAAAACAAGCAAAUAAAUUAAAACUUUCAACAACGGAUCUCUUGGCUCUGGCAUCGAUGAAGAACGCAGCGAAAUGCGAUAAGUAAUGUGAAUUGCAGAAUUCAGUGAAUCAUCGAAUCUUUGAACGCACAUUGCGCCCGCCAGUAUUCUGGCGGGCAUGCCUGUUCGAGCGUCAUUACAACCCUCAGGCCCCCGGGCCUGGCGUUGGGGAUCGGCGGAGGCCCUCCGUGGGCACACGCCGUCCCCCAAAUACAGUGGCGGUCCCGCCGCAGCUUCCAUCGCGUAGUAGCUAACACCUCGCGACUGGAGAGCGGCGCGGCCACGCCGUAAAACCCCCAACUCUUCUGAAGUUGACCUCGAAUCAGGUAGGAAUACCCGCUGAACUUAA
rnacentral:rRNA from 1 species